UACGUAGGGUGCAAGCGUUGUCCGGAAUUAUUGGGCGUAAAGAGCUCGUAGGCGGUUCGUCGCGUCGGCUGUGAAAUCCCGAGGCUCAACCUCGGGUCUGCAGUCGAUACGGGCGGACUGGAGUUCGGCAGGGGAGACUGGAAUUCCUGGUGUAGCGGUGAAAUGCGCAGAUAUCAGGAGAAACACCGGUGGCGAAGGCGGGUCUCUGGGCCGAUACUGACGCUGAGGAGCGAAAGCGUGGGGAGCGAACAGG
rnacentral:rRNA from 1 species